rnacentral:rRNA from 1 species
UUAGGCCGGGAACUCAAAGGAGACUGCCAGUGAUAAACUGGAGGAAGGUGGGGAUGACGUCAAGUCAUCAUGGCCCUUACGACCAGGGCUACACACGUGCUACAAUGGCGCAUACAAAGAGAAGCGACCUCGCGAGAGCAAGCGGACCUCAUAAAGUGCGUCGUAGUCCGGAUUGGAGUCUGCAACUCGACUCCAUGAAGUCGGAAUCGCUAGUAAUCGUGGAUCAGAAUGCCGCGGUGAAUACGUUCCCGGGCCUUGUACACACCGCCCGUCACACCAUGGGAGUGGGUUGCAAAAGAAGUAGGUAGCUUAACCUUCGGGAGGGCGCUUACCACUUUGUGAUUCAUGACUGGGGUGAAGUCGUAACAAGGUAACCGUAGGGGAACCUGCGGUUGGAUCACCUCCUUACCUUAAAGAAGC